AGUACCCCUACUGAGAUAAAAUCAGCCCAGAUAGCCAAAGAUUCGAGAGUAAACAAAUAUACAAUAGCAGGUAUGCUCUUGGAAUCAUUUGGGGACAUUUUGGAAACAAAGAAUAAUUCUGCUGCUGGAAACUCCAUCAAAAAUAGGGAUCAUAUGGAAGGCAAGUGUAUCUAGAACGAAAGAAACCCUAGAACAAUUCCGAGGACUUGGUCUGUCUCCAGAUGGAUGGAAGAAAGAAAAUUCUGCAAUCUUUCAGUCUUUCAGGGCUCAGAAGCCAAGCAGCCCAACACAGAGACUGCAGAGAAAGGCCUGCUGAGCUGGGAAAGUGGUUGUAUGUCAGGAGUACAACGUGGGUCUCACUGGACUGUAACCAAGGUGUCGACAAGGCUGCAUUCCAUUCUGGAAGUUCUAGUGGAAACUCACUUAAGGUAUUUAAUAAGAUGCAUAUUCAUGUCUAAGGAUGUUUAAGACCUUGACUGUGUUCUCAAUAUCAUCAACCACUGCACAAAAAAGAAAUCAAUAAAGGAAUCAGUGCUGAUAGAUCAGACCAACAGAGGAGCUUCACACCCGGAUCUCAAGCAAGUAGAAGCUGGAGAAGUGGCUGAUAAAGGCCUUUGAAGAGCCACCUGAGUAACAGUGCUCCCUUGAGAUGGAGACAAGCUAUAAAGAUGAAAAUAAUAUCAAAGCAAUGAAACACUGUAAAACAGGACUAUCUGUAUGCUUAAAAUAAUCUAAUCAACUUUGUCAAUGGGCAUUCCACAUCUAUAGUGUAUGUCCCAAAAGCAAAGCUAAUGUAUGUGUGUAUUUUACACAGCAACAAGCCUAUUGUCAAUACUGCACCAAUAAAUUAUAAUAGCUUA